rnacentral:lncRNA from 1 species
AUUAUCGACAAAUCAUCUCAAGAUUAGUGUUACCAAUUAAUUUUGCAUCAAAGAAAGAGUUGUUUCUCAAGCUCUUUAGCCCUCUUCUCAUCGAUGGUGGUCGCAAGGUAUGUACGUGCUUUGCUUUGUAAUCCUGCUGUAAAUUAACAAGACUAGUGAGAUGGUUCUUUUCCAAGAAGACAAUCUUUCUCGCACGCUCAUAUUCAUAGAAAGCAAAUAGAUUGAUAUUUAUUCGACAACAAUAUUAGCGAGUAAUCUCAAAUGAUAAAUUGAUGACAAAGAACUCUUGCAUCUUCUCAUUUUCCUUUCUAUAACAUUACUGCAGACCUUUUCAAUUGAUAGAAUAUCAAGUAAAAAGUGUUAUAUGUUGAGUGCAAGGGAGCUAUCAAUUGCUUGGUCCACCAAUCCCCUCUACUGGUGCUGGAAACCCCUUCUUCACUCAAGGUCCCCUUCUCCUUUAAUUUCCUGUUUCUUUCAGUCCUUAAUUAAUGCCUACUAUAUCCCAAAUAUUAGUUAUUUAUUAGAAAAUUAAGGACAUAAUCUCACAAUUUGACUUUAAUUUUCGGUAGCUCCUCAAAACUACCCUAAUUAAAUAUAUCCUAUUUUAUGCGUUGCAACAGAUUUCCAGAAGGUGUGGAGCUUAUAAUGGUAUGUUGGCUAGAAAUUAAAGGAAAGAUAAAUACUCGAAUGUUGUCUCCGCGUACAACAUAUGGAGCUUACCUCAUUGUCAACCUGGCUGGUCGUGCUUUCGGCUUAGACUCCUUACCAUCUGAGAUAUCUGUCAAAGUAGGAGGAGACCAUGAAUCCAAAGGAAUUGUUUUAAUACGUCGUAACUAUACUAACAGUAGAAAACAAGAAUUG